rnacentral:rRNA from 1 species
UACGUAGGGCGCAAGCGUUGUCCGGAAUUAUUGGGCGUAAAGAGCUCGUAGGCGGUUUGUCGCGUCUGCUGUGAAAGCCCGGGGCUCAACCCCGGGUCUGCAGUGGGUACGGGCAGACUAGAGUGCAGUAGGGGAGACUGGAAUUCCUGGUGUAGCGGUGAAAUGCGCAGAUAUCAGGAGGAACACCGGUGGCGAAGGCGGGUCUCUGGGCCGAUACUGACGCUGAGGAGCGAAAGCAUGGGUAGCGAACAGG